rnacentral:rRNA from 1 species
UACGAAGGGGGCUAGCGUUGUUCGGAAUUACUGGGCGUAAAGCGCACGUAGGCGGAUAUUUAAGUCAGGGGGUGAAAUCCCAGAGCUCAACUCUGGAACUGCCUUUGAUACUGGGUAUCUCGAGUAUGGAAGAGGUGAGUGGAAUUCCGAGUGUAGAGGUGAAAUUCGUAGAUAUUCGGAGGAACACCAGUGGCGAAGGCGGCUCACUGGUCCAUUACUGACGCUGAGGUGCGAAAGCGUGGGGAGCAAACGGG